rnacentral:rRNA from 1 species
UAAGGAAUAUUGCUCAAUGGGAGAAAUCCUGAAGCAGCAACGCCGCGUGGAGGAUGAAGGGUUUUUAACUUGUAAACUCCUGUAAAGAAGGAAAAAAUUCCCAUUAGAUGGGAAAUGAUGGUACUUCUGGAGUAAGCCCCGGCUAACUACGUGCCAGCAGCCGCGGUAAUACGUAGGGGGCAAGCGUUGUCCGGAUUUACUGGGUGUAAAGGGUGCUCAGGCGGAUUUGUAAGUCAGAGGUGAAAUCUCACAGCUUAACUGUGAAACUGCCUUUGAUACUGCAAGCCUAGAGUAUGGAAGAGAGUGAUGGAAUAUCUGGUGUAGCAGUGAAAUGCGUAGAUAUCAGAUAGAACACCAAUGGCGAAGGCAGUCACUUGGUCCAUAACUGACGCUAAAGCACGAAAGCGUGGGUAGCAAACAGGAUUAGAUACCCUGGUAGUCCACGCCCUAAACGAUGAAUACUAGAUGUUGGCUUCGCAUGAAGUCAGUAUCUGAGCUAACGCAUUAAGUAUUCCACCUGGGAAGUACGAUCGCAAGGUUGAAACUCAAAGGAAUUGACGGGGUCAUAGCUGUUUCCU